rnacentral:rRNA from 1 species
AAUCAACGCUGGCGGCGUGCCUCAGACAUGCAAGUCGAACGCGAAAGUCCCCUUCGGGGGACAAGUAGAGUGGCGCACGGGUGAGUAACACGUAGGUAAUCUACCUUUGGAUGGGGAAUAACAACCGGAAACGGUUGCUAAUACCGCAUAAUGCAGCGGCACCUAAUGGUGACAGUUGUUAAAGCGGGGGAUCGAAAGACCUCGCGUCUAAAGAGGAGCCUGCGGCGGAUUAGCUAGUUGGAGGUAAUGGCUUACCAAGGCUACGAUCCGUAACCGGCCUGAGAGGGCGGUCGGUCACACUGACACUGACAUACGGGUCAGACUCCUACGGGAGGCAGCAGUCGGGAAUUUUGGGCAAUGGGCGAAAGCCUGACCCAGCAACGCCGCGUGAAGGAU